UUUUCCAGGAAGAAGACUACCACUUUAAAAGUUGACUUGAAAAGUCAUCAUGAGGGGUCCAUCUCUUUUCUAGGAACACGUAGCGAUGGCAUGGAGUCUAGACCUUCCACCUCCACCUAUACCCCCACAGCUCAAUGGUUACAACCAUGUCGUAAAUUCGAACUUCAUGAAAUUCUUUUGGCAACAGAAAACUUUAAUGAAUCUUUCGUGAUUGGUAAAGGGGGCUUUGGAAAAGUGUACAAAGGUGAGGUCAUCGUUGGAACUAGUCAUGUUGCUGCUGCUAUUAAACGGUUAGAUUUCAUGUCGGAUCAAGGGGCAUCAGAGUUCUGGGCUAUAUGUUGAAUGGAACACUUGAAGAUCAUCUAUAUAGAUUCCGCACCCAUCUUUCUUGGGUUGACCGGCUAAAGAUUUGCAUAGGCGCCGCGCGUGGGAUAGACUACCUCCACAUUGGUACUGGUAUUGAGUUUGGUAUUAUACAACGAGAUGUAAAGUGCUCAAAUAUUUUGUUACAUGAAAGUUGGGCAGCUAAAAUUUCGGAUUUUGGGUUGUCCAGAAUAGGCCCAAUGAAUCAACCACGUACUUUUGUCGAAACUCUUGUGAAAGGCACUUUUGGGUAUUUUGACCCAAAUUAUUUCGCCACUGUUUGAAGUGUUGUGUCAGAAACGACCGGUAGAUAGGAGCCUUGAAUAUGGUUUAGCUACAUGGGCAAAAGAGUCGAUCAAAGAAGGAAAUUUAAAGAAUAUAGUUGAUUCUAAUAUAAGGAAUGAAAUAUUCCCAAAAUGUUUGAAGGAGUUUUCUAGAAUCGCCGUAAGAUGCUUAGAAUAUCAUCCGAAGGAUCGUCCUACCAUGACCGAGGUUAUAGUUAGUCUGGAAUCUGUACUUACCUUGCAAUUGCAAACUCCAAGAAAGUCGUUAAUUACUAGAAUGGUUGAUGUGCUUCCUCCCUUCAACUCCACCAGCGAUGAUGCAGCCAAGAUGCAGAAGCAAGUGAUGCAUAUGAAAAAAUUCUUGGAGCGCAACGGCGCUCUUGCAUUGGAAGAUCAACUACAAAUCCUCGGUGCCAUGAAUACGUUUAGUGCUAAUACAUUGAAACUAGCGACUCGGAAUUAUGCCAGCGAUAUGAUUAUAGGAAAGGAGGCUAUGCUACCGUGUACAAAGGAAUCCUACCAGACAAUUGUGUUGUGGCAAUCAAGAAGGCCAAGGUAUCUGAGUCGGGGCAAUCGGAGGAGCAGUUGUUAAAUGAAGUUGUGAUUCUUAGCAAAAUUAAUCACCAAAAUGUGGUGCAGCUUUUGGGAUGUUGUUUGGAAACUGAGGUCCUGUUAUACUUAAAGAAGUUGGUUGAAAAUCAUCUAUCUGUUCAAGACAACUACAUGGAACCACAUAGCUUAGUAGUUGAAAGUGAACAGGUUGAUCUCCACAGUGACAUCUCUGAAAACAAUGAUAUCUACGAAAACCACAAUGAUUCCAACUUCAGUGAUAUCCUUAGAAACAAUGAUAUCUGUUUCAAUGUAGUUUAUCCUCGGUAAUGUAUUCAAUUCGGGUGAAUAUAAUUUAUCCAUUUCAGAUGAA